rnacentral:lncRNA from 1 species
CAGAUCCAGAAGCUUAUCUAUAACUUGUGUUUCACCUUUGCUCGGUGUACAAAACCUGUCUCGCUGGUCCCACCAGUGUACUAUGCUGACCUUGCUGCCUAUAGAGGAAGGCUGUACUAUGAUGCAAUUGUGGCAGAGGUUGGAGCUUCAGCUGCAACUUCAUCAUCAGUUGCCUCACCAUCAUCAUCAUCGGCUGGAGCUUGGCUCAAUGACAGGCUUUACCGUCUGCAUGGUGCUCUGGAGAACAUGAUGUUUUUCAUCUGAAAAGAAUCAUGGAUCCGGAUCUCCUUUUCUACUUGCUGUACUGAAGAAGAAGGUUCUACAU